AGCUCUGUAAGCGUAUACCCAAGUUGUUGCAGUUAAAACGCUCGUAGUCGGAAGUUGGCGGGCGAGACGGGGCGUCUUCGCGGACGGACCCGGGUCGGCCGCCUUUGUGGAGGGGGGCGCGGGGCCGCUUGAGUGCGGUACCGUUGCCGCUGCCACCGUUUACUGUGAAAAAAUUAGAGUGUUCAAAGCGGGCGUUUGCCAUGAAUACCUUAGCAUGGAAUAAUAGAAUAGGACCUUGUUCUAUUUUGUUGGUUUGUGAGGACUGGGUAAUGAUUAAGAGGGACGGUUGGGGGCAUUUGUAUUCCGGCGUCAGAGGUGAAAUUCUUGGAUUGUCGGAAGACAAACGGCUGCGAAAGCGUCUGCCAAGGACGUUUUCA
rnacentral:rRNA from 1 species